CAAGCUCCAGGUUUACUGAGAGACUCCAUCUCAAAAUAGAAGGUGAAGAAGUGUCACACCGGCUCGAAUACAGAAAACCUGCAAACACAACGGAGGAAGAAUUCCGUAGAGGAGUCUGCACCCAGCAGCAGCAGGACACAUGUUUACUGCGGAGUCCUGUGGAAACCCUACAAAACCUUAUCCAGGCCAUAGAUGGAGCUGGCGCCAACAAGUUUUGUCUCUAAUGUGGUCAGCAGCAAAUCUCAAGAUCUCAGUGGAAGGCCUGGUACAGCCAACCUGGAUUCUUUCUGAUUAUCACAGGUGUCACACAGGAGGCUGGUAUUCCACAGUGUGAUACAGGGACCGAGGGUGAGUCCUCUCUCACUAUACCCUCUAAAGCAGGUGGAUUCUGGGGUCCCUGCCAAAUGACAAGCAGAGGCUGCGGAAACCUGUGGGACAGUUUCAACCUCUGGGAGCAGAGGUGACUUACAUUUGUGUUAUGGCCUUGACUUGUGUGCCUGCCACACACCCAAAGACCCAAAUUCAUGUGCUGAAGACCUGCCUUUCAAUAGCUUGAGAAGCAUUGACCUUGGAAACAGGAACUUUAAAGACAGAAAAUGACUUCUAGUGACAUAUUAAGGUCAAAUAAAGUUGUGUGAGUGGAUUCUUUAGUCCAUUAUGACUGGAGUCCUUGUUAGAGAGGGCCAUCUCAACAAUAUGACCGCCUGAACAAGACUUGCCCA